GACGAACGCUGGCGGCGUGCUUAACACAUGCAAGUCGAACGGAAAGGCCCUGCUUUUGUGGGGUGCUCGAGUGGCGAACGGGUGAGUAACACGUGAGUAACCUGCCCUUGACUUUGGGAUAACUUCAGGAAACUGGGGCUAAUACCGGAUAGGAGCUCCUGCUGCAUGGUGGGGGUUGGAAAGUUUCGGCGGUUGGGGAUGGACUCGCGGCUUAUCAGCUUGUUGGUGGGGUAGUGGCUUACCAAGGCUUUGACGGGUAGCCGGCCUGAGAGGGUGACCGGCGACAUUGGGACUGAGAAACGGCCCAGACUCCUACGGGAGGCAGCAGUGGGGAAUAUUGCACAAUGGGCGGAAGCCUGAUGCAGCAACGCCGCGUGCGGGAUGACGGCCUUCGGGUUGUAAACCGCUUUCGCCUGUGACGAAGCGUGAGUGACGGUAAUGGGUAAAGAAGCACCGGCUAACUACGUG
rnacentral:rRNA from 1 species